rnacentral:lncRNA from 1 species
CUCAGACUUAGCUUCAUUUUAGAGUAACACCUCUCUUUAGGGACAAAAAAAAUUGCCUGGUUUAGCAGAUUCAUUUUAGUUAAUAUUUGAUGAUGGGAGGAUGUGUAGGUAGCAACUGUUUGAUUUUUCUUAGUUUCGGAGACCCGCAUUGUGCAGGUACUGCGGACAGUGAUAAGGAGGGGGCAUUUGAUGACUACUUCUGAUGGAUCUUUGUGCUUCUGCUUCUUCUUAUCUAUAGAUGACAGAUAUAAACACAAUUUUAGUAGAGAAUUACAGUGUAGGCAUGCAAAACACAAACCAAAUUCUUACACAUAAAAGAUGCAAGAUUUGUAUAUAGGAGUAAGAUUCUUAGGGUUCUUUAGGUCAAAUAGUUAGCUAAUCCUUCCAAAAUGCCAUUCCCCUAGUGGAUAUGCAUUAGUUUCAUUUGUAUCUUCACUAACAGUCGCCAUGACUUGUCUCUAACAAGUAUAUUGAAAAUGUCUCAAAAUGAGGUUCUCUGCAUUAUCUGUGUUAUAUAUUUUUGUUAACGAAUAACAAAAUGAGCCAUAUACGAUUGAGAUGUUUGUUGUGCUUCAUAAAGAAGGCAAGCAUUGUUGGCCCCAGAGCUUAGUCAGUUGGUUCAUGUAGCCAUCCUUAAGAAGUUGCAUCCACUAUCUCUGUGUGGUUCAUAUCUUAACAUCUACAAUCUUUUCCGCUUCUUUGGACUGGAGCUUCAUUUUGUACCAAAAAACGUGGAAAAAGGCAUUGUUAAGAAAGUAGGGAGGAGGCUGCAAACACUGACAACCAAAGAAGCAUCAGAAGGGAACUAUAGCUUCAGGUUGGCUGGCAAAGGCCAAUUCUAUCAUGGUUUGAAUUGGCAUGUUAUAUGCUAUGUAAUAUAUAUAUAUAUAUAUAUAUAUAUAUAGCCAUUGAUGUAUUUCUUUUUUCAAUUCAAACAUGAAUUAAUUAGCUAGCAAACCCAUUUAAUAAUUACAAAACAAUGAAGCAAGGCAGCAUAAUGCCUUUUACACUUUUGAAUUGAUUGGGAAUAUUUCUUUUCACAUGCUGUAUACCCCUUUUCGGUGCAUACAUAUAUUUAUAUAUACAUACAUAUCUAUAUGCUAUUUCAUCAUUGAUCUCAGAGAUUAGUAAUUUCUCUCUUUUUUUUUAUUUCUCUUAUCCAUGUAUAUCCUAUGAAUUAAAUCCAUCUUUUAGGUAAUUAAUUUAGUCUUGAUUCGAUCAAGAAUCUCCACCUUUAGUUUAGUUUCAAAAUUUUAUUCUAAAUAAUUAAGCACCAGUGGUCUAGUGGUAGAUUAGUACCCUGCCACGGUACAGACCCCCGGGUUUGAUUGCCGGCUGGUGCAAUCACACUUUUUUGCUCUAUAUAGCUAUUGAAAAUUUUUCCCCAAUAACACAGGAAAAAAAAGGUUCCAAAUGAAAAACAAAUUAUUGGAUUAGAGAAUCGAAAUCAAGAAGAAAAAGAACCUAUAGGUGAAGGGGGUCUUGUAUCAGAUGCGCAAAAACAAGGAAAUUUUAAAUCCGUUCUCUCAAACCAAGAAAAAGAUGUUGAAGAAAAUCAGACAAAAAAAAACGUAGAAAGAAAAAGUAAUACAAGAGCAACACGGAAGCAAAGCUUGAUUUCUUCCUAAAAAGGUAUUUGCGUUUUCAAUUGAGAUGGGAUGAUUCUUUAAAUUAAAGAAUAAUCACUAAUAUUAAAGUAUAUUGCCUCCUGCAUAGACUGAUAAAUCCAAACGAAAUUGUUAUAUCCUCUAUUCAACGGGGAGAAAUGAAUUUGGAUAUUUUGAUGAUUCAGAAGGAUUUAACUCUUAGAGAAUUAAUGAAAAAAGGAAUAUUGAUUAUCGAUCCAGUUCGUCUGUUGGUAAAAAAUGAUGGACAAUUUAUUCUAUAUCAAACUAUAAGUAUUUUGUUGGUCAUAAAAAUAAACACCAAUUAAUCAAAGAUACCAAGAAAAAAAUUAUAUUGAUAAAAUUCAUUUUUAUGAAUUUAUUGCAAGACAUCAAAAAAUGACUGAAAAUAAAGACAAAAAUCAUUAUGAUUUGUUUGUUCCUGAAAAUAUUUUAUCCCCUAACCACAGGCGAGAAUUACGAAUUCGAAUUUCUUUCAAUUCAAGGAAUAAAAAUGGUAUGCAUAGAAAUGCAGUAUUUUUUAAAUAAUGUAACAAGUUAUGGUCAAGUUUUGACUAAAAACAAAUAUCUUGAUAGUGAUAAAUUAAUGUUCUUUCUUUGGCCCAAUUAUCGAUUAGAAGAUUUGGCUUGUAUGAAUCGAUAUUGGUUUAAUACUAAUAAUGGCAGUCGUUUCAGUAUGAUAAGGAUCCGUAUGUAUCCGAGUCUGAAAAUUCGUUAAUGGUCCACUUUAAUGGUACCUUUUCCCCUAUAUUAUGUAUGUAUCGUGCCGGGUAUAUGAAAAUAAAUAGAUGGUCACAAGGAUUGUCUUACAUUUUAUUCUGAUACACGAUACUAAUUUAAUGACAUACAUAUCAAUUAGAUCGACAAAUGAAUCAAUAAAAUCCUACUAAUUUAAACUCUCAAAAUUUUCUCUUUUGUAGAAAUCUCACUCUUUUGUAUCCCUAUACGAAUCAAAUCGAAACCCAGAUUGAUUAAUUUUAUUUGAAAAAAUGAUAAAGUUCAUAAACGAACUUAAAAUCAAUCGUGUAUAUCAAAAAUGACUGGUAAUUAUUAUUACUGAUCAGUAAAAUUCAACAAUUUACAAAAAAAAAGGGGUAAAACUUUUUUGGUUUUAAUAGGUAAAAAACUCAUUCCUCUAGAUAUUUUCAAAGAAAAAAAAAGNNNNNNNNNNNNNNNNNNNNNNNNNNNNNNNNNNNNNNNNNNNNNNNNNNNNNNNNNNNNNNNNNNNNNNNNNNNNNNNNNNNNNNNNNNNNNNNNNNNNUUUCGUUCUAGAAAAUAAGCUGAGUUGAUAAACUAAAUUAGAUAGUUAUAUAUGAGUGAAAGAAAGCAACUUAUAAAUUCGCAGUAAAUUAAACAAAAAAAAAUAGAAUCUCAUUUCCCAUGUACAAGAGUUAAGUGGAAGAAAACGUAAGCGGAAGAAGUCUUUACCCCAAGACGGGUUGAUUAGUCAAUCUAGCUUGAAGCGGGCUAAAAAGAUCAACCGUAUAGAGUUUUUGCUAUCCUUUGUAUGGAUUCCCAUAUAUGUAUUGCUAAACAAACAGGGGAUUGAACAAAAAACGAGUGGAUGGUUAGGAACACCAAAAUACAUAAGGGAUUGGUAAUGGGGAUUAUGUAAAUUAUAUAAAAAGAGACUUCUGGAUAACAUAAAAAGAAUACUAAUUGGGGUUUUAAAUUCGUAGAAAUGAUUAGGCAGUACUCCCCAUGAUUCUGGUCCAGAGUAUCCUCCUAUCUGCCGAUUAAAGCAAUGACUAUUAGGAACGAAAUAAUCCUUUACUAUUUUUUAGUUUAAGCUCCAUUUGUGAUUUUAUCAGAUUCAAAAGCAGAAUAGGAAUGAAAAAGAAAUCUUUUUUUUUUUAUUCUUUCUUUCAUAAAUAUAGAGAGAUCUAAUAAUUUCUUAUACCUAUGGGUUCUUUUUCUUUUUGAUUUCGAUUCUCUAACCCAAUUGUAAGGACUCAUUUUUGCCCGGAAGCCCAGACCCAAUUACAAAUAAAAAUAAAAUACCCCAGCCCAAUUACUAAACCUAACCCAAGCUCAAACUACCCAACAGGCCCAAAAUUAAAAAAAAAACCUAGCCCAAUAACCUAAAACACUUUCAGCCAAAGGGAAGGACAGAAACCUUAGGGCGCGCCGCAUGGCCGCCUCACACGCCAGCCCCAGCCUUGCUGCCACCACCGUUCGUUGCACGUCCCAUCAGCAUCGCACGCCACUGCCACCAUGGCCUCCUUCACGCACGUCUGGCACCUGCAAAACACCCAUAACACGCCAACAGAAACAACAAAAAGGAAAAAAACAAAGAGAAAAGAAACCAACAAGCAGAAAAAAUCCAAAUCGCAAAACGACAAAAUAAAUAGAAAACUAAGUAGUUAAAUCGGCUAUAAAAGCCGAGAUCUAGGGCUUGUAAUUUUUUCUGACACUUUAAAAUAUUGGAAAUAAAAGAACAGAAGGUUAAUGCCCUAUUUCUUCUUUUUUUUUCCCUCUCUUUUCGAUCUAUCCAUUAAUUGUACUUUAUUUAUUUAUUUAUUACAAAUCUGUUCUAAAAGGAAACUAUUAAUAAAGAAAAGAAACGGAGAAAGAAACAUACCCGAAUCGCCCCGCAAGCGUUGUCACCGGAGUUUUUCGGGUCACCAAAAUCGGACCGAAAAGGGUGGCGUUUGGGGUUUCUUCUCACGGCCCUACGGCAAUGAAGGCUCGGCCUUCAAUCGGUCGUCGAAGCGGGGUUAAAAACCCAGAUUUCUGCUGCUCCGGCCACCGUCUACGACGGGGUCAUGGCGGCGCAGGCGACAGCCCUAUCAGUCUGAUGGAGGGGCUGAGAGAGAACUAAACUAUUCUCUGUUGUUUUUUUUUGGAAAAAUGAAGCUGGAAGUUUUUUUUUUCUUUUUUUUUUACGAUUUAUAUAGGGUAUAAAACGACGCUGUUUUGGACCUUAAUAUUGGUUGCCAAAACGACGUCGUUCAACAUUUAGACCCGAAAUUCACCCGACCCGCAAUGAGGAUCCACGCGUUUUCAUUAAAGGGGAUAUUUGCGCGAUAAAUCCCCCCGUUUUUAGGCGCGUUCAAUGUAGUUUUUUUUAUUUUUCGAUUUCGGACUUAAAUGUUGCUUGUGUUUCAAAUUGGUCCUUAGACCAUGUGCAGACUUUAGCGCCCUAAACGGCGUCGUGUUGGGCCUAGUAAAAGGGGUUAUUUUCGCUGUUGGCCCUUACGAAUUUGAUUUGAAUUUCAAUAACGCCCUUUCAGUUUUUUUAAAUUUGCCUAUGAUUUUAUUCCCAUUCCAUUUUAACCUAUUACGAAACGGUGCACUUCAAGGGCUGGGGAAUAAUUUCCCAUUUGGCCCCUACAAAUUUGGGCACGUUUCGUUCGGGCCCCAAAUUGCUCUUUCUUUUUUUUAGAUUUGCCCCUUUAAUUUCUGUUUUAAUUCCAAUUCGGUCCUGGGACCAUUAAAUUUGUUUUUUUAAAUCAUUUUUAGAAAAAAAAAAUGUUUGUUAUUUUUAUUUUGUUUAAUUUUUUUUAUAUAUAAAAAAUCAAAAUCAAAAUCAAAUGCCUUAUUAAUUUAAUUUAUGUAUUUAACACUUCCAUUAUUAUGCCUUCAUAUUUUUGUUUAUUAUUUAUUAUUUAUUAUCUUCGUUUAUUGCUCCUAUUAUGGUUGCUUAUAUGGUCAUUAUCAUUAUUAUUAUUAUUGUUCCAUGUUUUCUUAUUUGUAUUAUUAUUGUCUUUGUUCAUGAUGUUAAUAUUGUGAUUCGUUACUAUUAAUGCCAUAUGUUUUUAUAUUUUGCAAUAUCGUGUUCUUAUUAUUUGGAAUGUAUGUUGUACUAUCGUUACGAGUCAUGCAUAACCUUCUUGUACAUAUUAACAAUUUCUUUUAAAGCAUAAUCAAAUAAAUUACAGGCAUAUUGAUAGAUAUUUCAUCGACUUUCACCCAUUGUCCAAAAAAGGAAAAGGUUUUAAAAUAAGGGAACAUUUCGCGUUUUUGGGAUUCAAGAAAUUGUACCCUAAAUUGUUGGGUCUCAAUUUUCUCGUUAAACCUAAAUAGCAAAAUAUCCUUUUAAAUUUCCAAACACAUAAAAUUUCAAUAAAAAUCAAAGGCAAACUCAUUCUCGAGGGUUCAAAUAUCGCGUCCUAACUUACGGGAUGUGACAUAUUACUAUCGCGGGACGAGUGGACCUUUGCUGCUUAACUCAAGCGUUUUUUUUAAAUUAACAUUAAUUAAGAAGAAAUCGUGCCCUAACUUACUGGGCACGAUCCCUUUUUUUCUCAAGUUUUAAAUGAUCUCGAGAAUUACAAAAAGAUUGUGUCCUAACUUACUGGGCAUGAUCCCUUUUUCAAAUCCGAGAUAGCUAAAUAUCUUUUAAAUAGGUAAAUUUUUUGCAUUUAUUCACGCAUCGGGAAUUCAAGACAUUGUGUCUUAACUUACUGGAUAUAAUCCUCUUUCUCGAUUAACGUGAAAUAUGCAUUCUUUCUCAAAAAUUUUCAACAUUUCAAUAAAGGAUCGUAUUUUAAAUCUCUUUAAAGUUUUCAAUCUUCGACUCUAAGACAUUAAUUAAUCAACUAGGUACCGACUUUGGGCGUUACGAGGGUGCUAAUCCUUCCUCGUACGUAAUCGACUCCCGAACUCGUUUUUCUAAAUUUCGUGGACCAAAAUUGUUGUUUUAAUAAAAUUAAAUCGUUUAUUAAAUACAACCACUUUUCUAGGUGGCCCGAUCUCACCUUAUCAAAAAGGAUUGGUGGCGACUCCUGUUUUCGUUUUCGUUUUCAAAAUCCAAGUCGACAUGUUUUCACAAAAAAAUGGUGUCAACAGCUUGGUGACUCCGCUGGGGACGAAAAAGAGAGUCAAGCCACGUGUUAUUACUUUUUGUCUUUUUGUCGAAAAUCGAGGAUUUGAUUAAAAUUUACGAUCCUUUCAUGGCAUUUCAUUCGUCUUUAUUACGAUCUUUAUCAUUGUGGUUUUAUAAUUAUUGUGUUGGUUUAAGUUUUGAUAUAUUUUUGCACAUUGCAUUGCAUGACCGUUGGUCACACCUUUUUAAGUGGGAGUGAGAAGCUACUCAUUCGUGAGGUCUUUACCUCCGUGCAGGAUAGUGGAUCGCUUUCGGGAUACAUCCGUACCUAUGUCUUCGUGAGAUUUUCAUCUCCGUGCAGCCAUAGGGAAAUGUAUUCCCCUGAACCGAACUCGGUCCGUAUGAGCCUAUAAGGGGUAAGGAUCGAGGAAUCUGCCGAUUCGGGUACCUCAACUUUUGAAUCAAACCAUAUGUAGAAGACCUUAGAAGCCUACCCUAGGUAGAACCACGCCAAACCCUAGAGAUCACCCAAAUAGACGCUUGGUGCACAAUACUAACUUAUUCUGUUUUGCUUUGAUUGCAUGACAUUUGCAUUUCAAAAGAGGUGUUGGUUCACGUUCGGUAUCUAAAUAGAGAGCUCAACAUGGAAAGGGAGUUUCUUGGUAAAGUGGAAGAUAAUGCGGCCGUCCGAGUUUGGUCUGAAAAAGUUCAGCAAGAAAAGGAUGAUAGCCUCGUGGAAGGAUACGUGUCAGAAUUAUGGGACUUCACUCGCAUUAGCGUGACUCAGAAUAGUUUGCAAAAAUUAAAAGAGAUAUGAGAUCAGUGGGAUAACGACAUCAAGCAGUUCUUUUACAAUAACUAUGGUGAUCUUCCUUAUUUGCUUAGUGUAAAGGUAGACAAACACUUAUUUCGAGCCCUCGUGCAAUACUGGAAUCUAGCCUACAGUUGUUUCACGUUUGGGAAAGUAGAUUUGGUACCCACAGUAGAAGAAUAUACGACCUUGCUACGGUGUCCGAAGAUCUAAGUCGAUAGGGCCUAUUCAAGAGCAGCCUAUGUCUCGACAUUUUUGAAGAAAUUAAUGAGUAUUACAGGAAUGAGCGAGCAAUGGGUCGAGGCUCGGAUUAAGCAAAAGAGAGACAACAAGUGCAUACCUUGGAAAAAUCUGCGAGAUCUGAUCUUGGCACAUCUGGAUGUGAGAAAAAAGGUUGCUAUUUUCGCCUUGAGCAUUUAUGGUUUAUUUGUCUUCCCCAAUGCGUUAGGGCAUGUGGAUGAAUCAGUUUCAUAUUUGUUCGACAGGCUUGGCAAUAGGGUCACACCGGUCCCAGCGAUUUUGGCUGAAACCUUCAGAUCUCUAAAUGCGUGUCGAAGAGCGGGUGAAGGAAGGUUCAUCGGAUGCGCGCAACUGCUAUUGGUGUGGUUCCAUAGUCACUUUUGGAAAGUAGAAAAGGUCUCCUAUAGGGUAUUCUCAGAAAACUACUCCCCAUUAAAGGAACUAGUGGCUACACCAAGACGAGACGAUAUCAUGGAAGAGAAAUGGAUGGUGAUUCUCCAAAAUCUUCAAGAGGAGGAUGUCGAGUGGAGAGCCCCAUGGAUGACCCCUAAUGAGAUUUUGUAUCGGUGUGGAGAGUUCGAUUGGGUUCCUUUGCUCGAAAUUUGGGGAGUCGUUGGAUACGCUCAUUUACUAGUCUUGAGGCAGUACAGAUCUAGACAGUUCAUACCGGCAACACAAGGGUUGGCUCAGUGUGAAUUUUCAUUCAAGGAAGAUAGUUACAAGAAGAAGGUUCAUGAAAUAUCGAAUGCUUGGAACCAAACCCGUAAAAUGAAGAUACUUGCUGUAAAUCCAAUGACAACUCCUGAGUAUAGUUGGUGGUGGGAAAGAAGGAUCAACGAUAACAUUCCCGUGUCGAGCCAAGAAGAUGCUCGACUAAUAGAGGAGCAUCUACAAGUAGUUCCGUCAGAAUUAGAGAUCAUCAAACAGGACUUUGAAAAAAGAAGUUCGGAGCUGGGAAAGAAAAUUGAGCAGCUAGAAGAGGAAAAGAUGCGUUUGGGACUAGAUGUCGAUAUCCACAGUUUGGAAGCUGAAAAAUUAAGGAAAGGGAAGAACAAGGCUGAAGAGGAUUUAGAUAGUCUAAGAGUGGAUUAUAAGAAGUUACGGUUGUCGAUAAGAACUGCUGGUCUGGGUAAAACGUCAGAGCAAUGGCAGCAGGAGAUCAAGGAAUAAAGGACCAAGGCUGAUCAAUGGGAAAAGAAAUUUCAAGAUGCCCAAGCUCGAGAGAACACUUUGGAGAAAAGCUUGUUAGAAUGUCGGAACGAAGAAGCAAGAUUAAAUGCCUGAGUAUCAGAGUUAGAAAAGUCGCUUCACCUGUACCGUAGUCGCAACUCUAUGAUCGAGUUGAGAGUAAGUUUAAGUAAGAUAGAAGAAUUAAAGGGAAUGAUAGUAGAGCUCGAAGACGCAUUGCAAAAUUUUGAAUUACGAAUAAAACUUCUUGAGAGGUGUAACGAACAGUGCCAGGAGCAGCUCCAUCAUUCCUAAAGUCAGAUUAGAGGCAGGGAUUACGUUAUGGGUAAAGUUGUAACUCAAGUGCGGGAAGUAACUGAUCAUCUGUAAACCUUAGCAGUUCAGGCUAAUGUAUUGAGUUUAAAAUAUGAGUCAGAAUCAAGCCGAGGUCAAGAGCUAGCUUGGCUCCUUAGGAGUGUUAAGGCUUUAAGUAUAAAGGCGAAGCCAUAUAUGUAGUCUAUUUUAUGUAAAGAAAUUUGUUUUCUAAAUCGAGUUCUUCUAAUGAAGUUGAAUUAGAAUCAAUGCCUCUUUUUUGCAUUCAUGCAUCUACAUUACAUUUCAUUGCAUGCAUUAAGUUUCAUAAAAGAGCCCUAAUUAAUCAAAAAUUGACACAGAAGUUACCCUGAAAACUAACAAAAAUCCACCAACAAAAUAUCACUACAGUACUUGUCACCAGACAAAAGCAAUGGAUUAGAGAUUAGAAAGAUUGGAACAAUUACAAAAGAAUAUGUAAGAUCAGAUGCAGGAACGACUGGAUAAAAUCGAACAAGACAUGCUAGAAGCCCAAAAAACCAUGAUGAGCCAGUUGACGCAGUUAUUGGCUGGAGGGAAUGAUAAAGGAAAAAGCCCUGUAGUUGAUUCUGGGGUUGAUCAUGAGGACCCCGUUUAUCCUCCAAGUUUCACCCCGACAAGCACCCAAGCACAACCAUAUAUGUGUCUGCAAAGAAUACCUGUCAAUAGUAGACUUCAAUAUUAGGCUGGUGCCUCGGCACCAAUACAUUUUCAAACGGGCUCGGGUUCUAAUCCCGGGGACAACCCUACCAAUCCUGUGGUCCCUGAUCUCGAUGACGUGGCAGAAAUAGAAAAAGCAAGAAUGGACCUGCCAAAACAACUUGAGGACUGAUGUAGAUGACUAGAGGAAAAAUUUAAAGCCAUGGAGAACACCGAUUACCAUUGUGGAGUUGACGCCAAGGAUCUGAGUUUGGUCUCUGAUUUAGUGCUCCCGCCUAAGUUCAAGAUGCCGGAGUUUGAAAAGUAUAACGGGACUAGUUGUCCUGAAGCUCAUAUCACUAUGUUCUGUUGAAGGAUGACAGAAUACGUCAAUAAUGAUCAACUGUUAAUCCACUGCUUUUAGGACAGUUUGAUCGGGUUUGCAGCCAAGUGGUACAACCAGCUGAGUCGUGUUAAAGUUAGUUCAUAGAGAGACUUGGUGCAAGCUUUUAUGAAGCAAUACAGUUAUGUGACAGAUAUGACACCCGAUAGAAUCAUGUUACAGAACAUGAAGAAGAAACAAAACGAGAGCUUCAGGCAGUACGCCCAACGAUAGAGGGAGGUGGCAACGCAAGUCCAGCCACCCCUUUUGGAAAAAGAGGUCACCAUGCUUUUUAUCAAUACUUUGAAAGCCCCAUUCAUCAACUACAUGUUGGGGAGUGCCACUAAGAGCUUCUCGGAUAUGGUAAUGUCCGGUGAAAUGAUUGAAAAUGCAAUAAGAAGUGGUAAAAUAGACGCAGGUGAAAGCUCCAAAAGACCAGCCUCAAGAAAAAAAGAAAAGCGAUGUGAACAACAUAAGCACAUAUAGCAAGAGUUAUUCGAAACCAAUCACUAUUGGCCCUCCAAGAACGGUAGCCACUAGUCACCAGAGCCCCUCAAAGCAAGAGCCCAACACAAGGCCCAACACAGAAAGACUUCAAUUCACGUCCAUUCCAAUAACAUAUAGGGAACUGUAUCAGAAUCUAUUCGAUGCACACGUGGUGUCUCCAUUUUAUCUGAAACUCAUGUAACCCCCGUACCCCAAAUGGUACGACCUGAAUGCCCAAUGUGAAUACCAUGCAGGGAUAGUGAUGCACUCGAUUGAGAACUAUACUGCGUUUAAGAAUGUGGUUGAAAGACUCAUUAAGAUAGGGAUUGUAAAAUUAGACGACCUAUCAGGACCAAACGUAGUAGGAAAUCCAUUACCCAAUCAUUCUGAUAAAGGGGUAAACGCGAUAAUUGACAAUGGGAGAAGGAGAAUCAAGGAUAACAUAACGGAGGUAAAGACCCCACUAAUUUGGGUUUGGAAACAAAUGAUAAAUGGAGGUUUAAUCAAACAAGAAUCAAAGGAAAGGCCCAAAGAAGUAGGGAGAUAUUGUGAGUUUCAUGCCAAAGAGAGCCAUGACAUUUAAAAUUGCACUGAGUUCAGGGCCAUGGUACAAAAUCUGAUGAACAACAAAGAGUUGGAGUUUUAUGAAGAGAUCAAAGGAUUGGAGGAGGGAGAAGUUUAUGCCUCGGAGGAAGGAUCUAAGGGAAAAGCCCAAAAGGUUAAUUACCCGGUGGUGAUGAUUUCGCGGCCAAUGAGCACAGAAGCUGGAAUACAAAUGGCACCGAGAGUCAUAAUCCAAAAAUCUGUAUCCUUUCCAUACAAUGAUAGCAAAAGGGUUCCUUGGAAUUAUGACUGCAACGUGACGAUCCCGAGAGAGGAGAACCCAGUAAACGCUUCAGAAGAGGGAAAUGAUGUAGGCUUCUAUACCUGUAGUGGAAAACACUACAAUCCAGCAAAUGCAGGAGUGAAGCCCAUAAAAGGAAAAGCCUUGGCGAUUGAGCAAGAAAAAACAAAGACGGCCAGAACUGAAUCGCAUGUUAACAAACCAGUGACUGAAAUCGAGGCUAGGGAAUUCUUAAAAUUCUUAAAGCAUAGCGAGUAUAGCGUGGUGGAACAAUUGCAUAAGCAGCCGGCUCGUAUCUCAAUGCUCGAGUUACUUCUAAGUUCGGAGACACAUCAUGAUGCGUUGAUAAAAGUGCUAAAUGAGACUUAUGUUGCUAACGAUAUCUCAGUGAAAAGUUGGAUCGCCUGGUUAACAAUUUAAGUGCUGACAAUUUCAUCUUCUUUAGUGAUGAUGAAAUAUCGUCAGGAGGGAGAGGAGCCACCAAAGCCCUACAUAUUACCACUCAUUGUAAAGGAUACACGUUGCCCGGGGUGUUAGUCGAUAAUGGAUCGACCUUGAAUGUUUUACCUUUAUCCACCUUAAACAGGUUGCCAGUAGAUAGCUCUGAAAUCAUGCUAGAAUAUAGUGAGAGCAUUUGAUGGCACUGAAAGGAGGGUAAUGGGAAGAAUAGAAAUUCCCCUCUUGAUUGGCCCGAAUACAUACAAAGUAGAUUUUCUAGUGAUGGAUAUCAAGCCUUCGUAUAAUUGUCUGUUGGGAAGACCUUGGAUUCAUUCAGCAGGAGCAGUGCCUUCAUCAUUGCAUUAGAAGUUGAAAUUGGUAACAGAAGGCCGAUUAGUUACGAUAAGCGCUGAGGAAGACAUCAUUGCAUCGAUAAUCAGCAACGCACCAUAUUUAAGAGCAGAUGACGAGAUGAUCAAAUGUUCCUUUCAGUCCUUAGAAUUCGUGAACGCAACCUUUGUGGUUAAUGGGAAUAAGAUCCCGAUGUCCAGCAUAUCCAGAACCACGAGGAUGAGACUGCAAAUGACGAUUGGGAAAGGAGCCGUGCCUAGGAGAGGACUCGAGAGAUGUCUUCAAGGAAGGAUUGUAACACCCCUUACCCGAGACCAUGGCCGGAGUCGAGUAUGAGGCGUUAUUUGACUUAACUUAAAAGUUUGGGGCAUAAAAAUUUACUUUCAAAUUUAAUUUCAUCAUUCAUAAUAAAGCUGUCCACCUGUACAGUAGUCACUAAAAUAAUUAUAAUUCAAGCUAAGAAACUCAAAAUUUAGAUCCGUAAAUUUUCCCUAAAACUAGACUCAUAUAUAUAUUCACCAUAAAUUUUUCAGAAUUUUUUCUUUAGCCAAUUAGUACAGUUUAUUAGUUGAAGUCUCCCCUGUUUCACUGAUCGACUAUCCUGACCACUCAUCACUAAAAUUUAAUUAUCUCUUAUUAAAGGCUUCAUAUGGUGAUUAAACUUAUUUUUACUAAAAAUAGACUCAUUAAGGAAUCUAUACAUAUAAAUUAUAACUCAAAAUUCCUUCUGUACAAUUUUUAAUGAAUUUCUAAAGUCAGAACAGGGGACUUCAAAAACAUUCUUGCCCUGUUUCACUAAAAUUCAAAUAUCUAAAAGUAUAUAAUUCUUUUGCUUACUCCACUUCUUUCCUAUGAAAGUAGACUCUUUCAGCUUUAAUUUCAUAUCGCACUCAACUUCUAAUUCUAUUUCCACUAUUUUUGGUGAUUUUUAAAAUUUACAUCAAUGCUGCUGUCCAAGAACUGUUCCAUUGCAAUUUUUAAAAAAAAUUCAAUAUAACCCCUUUAUAAUUGUCUAACCUUCCCUGCAAAUUUCAAAUCACAACCAAUUCCAGUAUUUCAUCUACUUCAUUUAAAUACUAAUAAAGUUCAACCAAUCAACCAUUUCAAACUAAAAACAUGUAUAUAUUUCGAUAUCUAACGCAACCAUAACAUUCAAAUUUACUUUUUACUUCAAUUCCCUAUACAUGCCAUAUAAAUCCAAAAAGUUGCUUAACAUAAUCUACCGGAGUAUAUCUGGAUAGUGUGAUUCUUGAUGUAGAUCCGAUCCUCCGAAUGUAUAAAUACGUUAAUCUACAAAAACAAUAAACACACACAUGUAAGCUUAUAGAAAAGCUUAGUAAGUUCAUAGGCAUAAAACAUAAAUCUUACCAAACACUUGUACACUUAUACAAUAUACACCAUUACUAAAUUUACCUGUCAACCACAAUCUUUGGUGAGUUCCUUGGUAUAAACUCACUACUACUUAUUCUUUUUCCAUAAUUCCUUUGGGCCCAUUUGUCACUUACCAUCCUUGAUCAAAAUUAAGGAACGGUCAUGGAAAUUUGAGUACUUCACUUUCACUUUGCCAUAUGACCUCUUAUCACUUGUCCUUGAUCAGAUAAGUGUAGCUAGGCUACCACUUAUCACUUUACCACUUGAUCAGAUAAGUGUAGCUGAAGCUACCACUUAUCACUUUAUCACUUGAUCAGAUAAGUGUAGCCACUUAUCACUUUGUUUCUUGAUCAGAUAAGUGUAACCACUUAUCACGUUGUUUCUUGAUCAGAUAAGUGUAGCUAAAACUACCACUUAUCACUUUGUCACUUGAUCAGAAGUACUCAAAUCCGGCGUUCCACUUAAUUUGAUCAUUUAUUCGAUUUUCACAUUUUUAUUUUAUUCUCAUUUCAACAAUAAAUACAUUUCAUCAUACAUUGUAUAAUUCAUGAAAUUAACAUUUAAUCAUUAAAUUUCAGCCAUAUGAACUUACCUGGAUCGAUUUGCAGAAUUUGUAAAAGUUCAGGGACUAAUCGGCUACUUUUUCUUUUCCUCGACUUGUUUCGGGUUCUCGAUCUAAAAUGCAAAUUUAUUCAUUCAUCAGCAUUUAAUUCAAUUCUAAUUCAUUUCACAAUUUAUGCCCUUUAAUUUUCGAAAUUACACUUUUACCCCAAACUUUACAAUUUUUACAAUUGGAUCCCUACUCAAUUAACCCCUAAAUUGAUCUAAUUUUUUUCAAUUAACACCUUUUUCAACUAUUUUAGACUACUACAUAGCCUUUCAUACUCAAAACCGCAACACCAAACCUUAAUUCCAAACUUUUUCACAAUUAGGUCCCUAAAAUCAAUUUCUAUCAAAAUUACUUAAUAAAAUCAUCAUAUAACAAAAUUAAAGCUUCAAUUCCAUGUUUAUUCAUCAUAAAAAUCCAACACUCAUCAAUGGUAACUUUCAAAAUCAGCCAUGGAAUCAAAAACUAAUGAAAUAAUUAGUUGGACCUAAUUGUAAAAGUAUCAAAAUCACAAAAAUUAGAAGAAAUAAUCAAGAAUUAAACUUACAUGAUUCAAAAAUAUGAAAAACCAGCUUAUUCCAGACCUCCUAUGGCGUUUUUGCUGAUAAAUUGUGAAGAGAUCUCUAGAUUUUUCACUUUUGUCUUUGUUUUAAAUGUUUAAUUUAUUAAGUUUCCAAUUUUGCCCCUGUUUCUCCUUACAUUCUGCUGAUUUUUCUUACCCAACCGUCCAGCCCAUAUAAUUUGGGCCUAAUUGCUUUUUAAAUCCCUCCACUUUAGUCACUUAAGCUAUUUAAUCACAAUUUAACAAAUUUUACACUAUUCCCAAUUUAGUCUUUUUUAGUUAAUUAACUAUCCAAACGUUAAAAUUUUCUAACGAAACUUUAAUACCAACUCAAUGACACUCUAUAAAUAUUUCUAAAAAUAUUUAUGGCUCGGUUUAAAAUCUUCAAGGUCUCGAUACCUCGUUUUUUAUUUUAAAUAUUUUAAUAUUUAUUCCUAGUACACUAUUCACUAUUUCAAAAAUUUUCCUAACUUCACAUUUAACUUAUACUUACUAAAUUUAUAAUAUUUUCUACUCGUUUGUCAGAUUUAGUGAUCUCGAAUCACCAUUCCGACACCACUAAAAAUUUAGGCUAUUACAAGGAUAGAGGGACCAAUGAUGAAGGAUAAACGAGACCGCUUUGGUUUAGGAUUUAAGUCAAAUGCGAAGCAAAAAAAAAGAGUUAGAAAAGAGGCAAGAGAGGCGGAAGGCGCGCUUGAGUGGAGAAGAAGUCGAUUGGGAACCUAUGACCUUCCCCCACAUAUCCAGGACCUUCAUAUCAGGGGGAACCAUUUAUGCUGAACUAAAGACACCAAGAAAGGAUGUUACGGAGGAAAUACUAGGAAACUUGAACAUCAAUGCCAUAUUUAAAGAAGAACUCGAAGGAGAAAGUAUGUCAAGCAUCCGCCCUUACGAGCCUGGAAGUGUUCUAGACAAUUGGACUGUAGAAGAGAUCCCUGUAACAUUUAGAACUAAUUCAGAGUAAUAUUUAGAACUCACUUGUUGCCCUAAGCCUGAGGGCAAUAAGAAUCUUUUGUAAAAGGUAUGCCCAAAAUUUUAUUUCAAUGAAAUGCAUCGUUCAGUCUCAUUUUGGACAAAUAUUCUUUCAUUCUUUCUAUUCCAUUUAUAAUCAUACUGUGCAUACAAUUAUUCUUAGAUUCUUUUUCUUUGGACCUUCUUCCAUCCCGAUUACAGGACUUCAAAUAUCAAUGAUGUGAGUGACACUGUUAUUGACUCAGAAUCCCUUUUUAAACAAGACAUGAGUAUAGAUGAUUCUCAGGAUUUUGAAGAUGACCAAAACAGCGUCCUAUCUCCUGAUUUGUUAGGGAUGGUGGAGCAAGAAAAGAAACAAAUCCUACCCUACAAGUAAUCAGUAGAGGUGAAAAUUGGAGCUUGCAUUGACAAAGAGACGAAACGAGAUCUCAUUGAGUUACUACAUGAGUUCAGAUAUGUCUUCGCAUGGUCCUAUCAAGACAUGUCCGAGUUAAGUACUGAUAUCGUGGUACACUGAAUGCCUAUAAAGGAAGAAUGCAAACCAGUCCAACAAAAGCUCCGAAGGAUGAUACCUGAUGUCCUGCUAAAAAUAAAAGAAGAAGUUAAGAAGCAGUUUGAUGCUGGGUUCUUACAGGUGGUCAAGUAUUCAGAAUGGGUAGCCAACAUAGUCACUGUUCCUAAGAGAGAUGGGAAAGUGCGAAUGUGUGUAGACUACAGAGAUUUGAACAAAGCCAGUCCCAAGGACAAUCCCAUUGCCCCAUAUCGAUACCUUAGUGGACAACACAGCCGGAUACUCACUGUUCUCCUUCAUGGAUGGUUUUUUUGGGUACAACCAAAUUAGGAUGCAUCCUGCAGACAUGGAGAAGACCACCUUCGUAAUGAUGUGGGGGACAUUUUACUACAAAGUGAUGCCAUUUGGACUAAAAAAUACGGGAGCGACAUAUCAGAAAGCCAUGGUAACCUUGUUCCAUGAUAUGAUGCAUAAAGCGAUAGAAGUCUAUGUUGACGAAAUGAUCGCAAAGUCUAGAACAGAUGGGGAACAUGUGCAAGUCCUAAGAAAACUAUUCCUAAAGUUAAGGAAAUUCCAGCUAAAGCUUAACCCAGCCAAAUGCACUUUCGGGGCUAGAUCGGGAAAGUUGCUAGGAUUUUUAGUCAGUGAAAAGGGAAUUGAGAUUGACUCAGACAAAGUCAAAGCCAUACAAGAAUUGCCUCCGCCAAAUACUCAGAAAGAAGUUCGAGGUUUUCUGGGAAGACUAAAUUACAUCGCUCGGUUUAUUUCAUAGUUAACUAAGAAAUGUGAUCCCAUUUUCUGUCUCCUUAAGAAACACAAUCCAGGUGUAUGGGAUGAGGAGUGCCAGAAAACUUUCGAAAAAGUCAAGCAUUACCUGUCCAACGCCCCAGUACUGACGCCACCUUGCCCAAAUAAGCCACUGAUACUAUACUUGGUAGUCUUCAAAAAUUUUAUGGGGUGCGUGCUCGGCCAACAUGACGAGUCAGGACGAAAAGAAAGAGCAAUCUACUAUCUCAACAAGAAGUUCAUUGAAUGCGAAACGAGAUAUUCACCGAUUGAAAAAUUGUGUUGCGCCUUGGUCUGGACCACUCGAAGAUUGAGACAAUACAUGUUAUACCAUAAGACUUGGUUAAUCUCCAAAUUGGACCCUCUGAAAUACAUGAUGGAGUCAACCGCUCUAAAUGGAAGGAUAGCCCAAUGGCAAAUUCUAUUGUCUGAAUUUGACAUAGCCUAUGUGAAUCAAAAGGCCAUAAAAUGGAGCGCAAUAGUAGAUUUUCUAGCUAGUACAGCCUUGGAAGAUUAUAAGCUUUUGAACUUCGAUUUCCCAAAUGAGGAUCUGAUGUAUGUGGCAACUGCUGAAGCAAACACACAAGAAAGCAAUGCUUGGAAAUUGAACUUUAACAGAGCCUCAAAUGCUGUGGGUAACGGGAUUGGGGCAAUCUUGGUAUCUCCAGACGGUGAUCAUUAUCCAUUCACUGGCAGACUAGAUUUUGAUUGCACAAAUAACAUGGCAGAGUACAAAGCAUGUAUCAUGGGAAUCCAUGCGGCUAUUGAACGCAAAAUCAAGGUACUUGAGGUAUAUGGGGAUUCUGCAUUAGUGAUUUAUCAGCUCAAAGGCGAGUGAGAAAUAAGAGACCCCAAGUUGAUUAGUUAUCGAAAGCUAGUCCUGGAAUUAAUUGAGGAGUUUGAUGACAUCACCUUCUGUUAUCUCCCUCGAUAUGAGAAUCAGAUGGCCGACGCUUUGGCUACAUUGGCUUCCUUGGUCAAAUGAGCAUUUAUGAGGCUCCAGCUCACUGUUGUAACAUUGACGAAGAAGAAGAAAAAGAUGACCACCCUUGGUAUUAAGACAUAUUACGAUACGUGAAAAAUCACGAAUACCCAGACCAAGCAACUGAGAAUGACAAGAGAACAUUGAGGAGGCUGGCUAGUGACUACGUCUUAGAUGGAGAAAUCCUAUACAAAAGAGGAAAGGAUCAGGUGCUGCUAAGAUGCGUGGAUGCUAUUGAGGCUAAGCAAAUCUUAGAAGAGAUCCACGAUAGUGUCUGUGGAACACACGCUAAUGGUUUCACAAUGGCCAGACAGAUCAUGAGAAUUUGAUAUUAUUGGUCCACCAUAGAAGGAGACUGUAUCAAGUAUGCUAAGAAAUGCCAUAAGUGCCAGAUUUACGGAGACAAUAUCCAUGUGCCUCAUUCACCUCUCCAUGUCAUGACUUCUCCAUGGCCAUUCUCAAUGUAGGGUGUAGAGCCCAAUUUUUGCCCGGGCCCAAGCAAAUAGAAACUAACCCAAUACCCAAUUUAAACCCAAUAAACCAAAUGAAAAACCAAAAAAAAAUAAAUAAUAAUACAGUCCAAAAUCAACCCAAUACAGUGGCCCAAGCGCUUAAAUGCUAACCCACUAAGGCCCAUUAAAAUUUAAACCCAGUUACAAUAUGGCCCAAAUUACUAGCCCGAUAGCCCAAAACAAAAAAUCAGCAGCAAGGAACCCUAGAGGAUCCUCGCGCCGCAAUCAGCCCCUGCCCUCCUCCUGCUACCAGCCACCGCGCGCGUGUGCGCCCCCGUACAGCUGGCCUUCGUACGUGCUACGUCUCUGACACUGUACGCCGUACCUGCACACAAGCAACAAACAAACGAGCAACAAAAGCAGCAAAAAAGAAAUAGAAAAACAGAAAAGAGAGAGAAAAAUAGGGGGAUUUUUCGUCUUCAUUUUUCUUUUUCCGAUUCGGCUAUAAAGCCAAAUACUACAAUGUAAAAAAGGGGGACGCGCAUACUGUAGAAAACACGAAAUGAAUACAAAAAGAAAAGAUUGAAAAAAAGGUUUUUUUUUCUUUUUUCUUUCUUUUUCAUUCUGUUUUCUUUCCGACUCAUACUUCUUUCUUUUUCUAUUUUUUUAGAUAUAUAUGAGAAUAUAUAUAGAAUAAAAAAGGAGAGAAAUGCGAGGAUAAAUCUUACCUGUGAGCACCGUUGGAGCUCCAUUUACUCUAUCCAAAUCGGAGUUAGACGGAGUUUUGGGUUUGGAGGUGGCGAAGGGUGAGAGAGGUUUAGUUUUUUUUUCUUUUUUUUUCUGAUAGUCUAAUAGAGCUUUGAAGUAUUUUGGUUUUAGGGUUUUGAAGGGCAUUUAUACUGGGCAUAAAACGACACCGUUUAGGCCCGUACCAAUGGCUCUAAAACGGUGCCGUAUUGGCGUCCACCCGAUGACCCGGUCCAAUUGCGGCUAGAUCCGCGUGUUUGGUAGGGGGAGGGGUAAUUGCGUGCCGAGUCCUCUUUUGUUUUGCACUGUUUCAGUUUAGUUUUCUUCUAUUUUUUAAUUUAUACCGCAUAUUUGGUUCCGAUUCCAAAUGGAUCCACGUUCAAACGGUGCCGUUUCCCAUGUUUGAUUGUGAAUAUCUGGAUCUGUGCGUCUAAUUGUUGUUUUAGUCCCUGGGUUUUGAAUCGAUUGCAAAUAUAAACCUUCAAAAAUCUUGAUUUUAAUUUAAGUCUUUUUUUGUUAUGUUCACUAUUAUUUUAGUAUUUUCUUUAAUUUUAUAAAUUUUUUUAGUAUUUGCUAGUAUUCUUUUUGUUUUUUUAUAUUUUUUAUAUAUCUUUUACUUACCUCUUUUCAUGUUUAUUAUUAGUAUAUUUCAUUAUUUUAAAAUUUUUUGUAAAAAAGGACAUUCAAUUUUGUUAUUUAUUUUUAUUUGUAAAUCAAAUUCUUUGUUUUAGUAUUUUAGAUUUGUCAUCAUGCAUUGUUUUUUUAGAUUUGCUAUAUUAUUAUUAAAACAUUGUUUCAUUACGAUACAUCAAUAUUUUAUCAUGUGUUCCUAUUAUAUAAUAUUAUUUUUAUAAUAAUUUAAUGUGUAUAAUCUAUCAAUGAUUUCAAGUUAUAUUCCUUUAAACCAAUUUCUAUGUAAUCUACUUAUUCAAAAUAUUCCAAUAUUGCAUUCAUUCCAAUGUACAUUAUUAUAUAUUAUCAUUUACAAUAUGCUUAUGAAAUAUUUAUUCUAGUUCCAUGCUUGUACAUUUUAUAAUGUUCGCUUCAAAAUUCAUUCAAAUAAAUUUAUUUUAUUUAACAUCAUUCUUAAUUUUCUUUUAAAUCUACUCCCAGACUCAAAUGUACUAUUACUUUUUAAAUCAUUGUUGAGAUGAUAUAUUUUUUACCUUAAUGUGUCUUCUGAAAUUGAUUAUUAAUUCUUUUAAUUUUCAUUUGUUAAUAUUGGUAUUUGCUUAAUGUGCUUAAAAUUACUGUUGCUAUUCUUGUUUGAAUUUAUCUAUUGUUUGCUUAAUAUUUUGUGUAUGAUUAGAUUGCGAGUUAUCCUAUUACAUUGUACAUUGGUGUUCAAUUAUACCAUAUUUGUUUUAAAAAUAAUGUUUUACAAAAGCAUUAUAAUCAUCUUAUUUCAAAAUUCCUAAAAGGGGCUUGGUGUUUAUGAGAUCUCGAGAGAAUUGUGCCCUAACUUACUGAGCUUCAAUUCUUCUUAACGAGUUUACAUCAUCAAGUACCCAUUUUAUUAAAACCAUACAAUUGUUAAAAUAAAUUAAUUAAGAUUUCAAAAUGUUGGAUCCUAACUUACUGGAUACAACAUUUUGUCAUCUCGUUUUUAAAAUAAAGGCCAUAUUUGACGUUUAGGAAUUUCGAGAGAUAGAAUCCUAACUUACCAGAUUCUGAUUUCUCGAUUAACUUAAGUAAUCAAAUAUCCUUCUUAAAACACAUGAUUUUUUUUUAAUUCUUAAAAAGGGAUGAAUCUAGCUUUGAAGAUUGAACUGUUGCAUUCUAACUCACUGAGCGUGGCGAUUUAUUCUUUGAAAUAGGUCCGCCUAUUUAACCAAUGCAAUUAUUUAAGUUUGCAUUUCAAAGGAUUGUAUUUUAAAUCUUUUCAAAUUUUCGGCACUAAGACAUUAAACAAUCAAAUUCGUUACCAAUUUUGGGCGUCACGAGGGUGCUAACCCUUCCUCGUGCGUAAUCGACUCCCGAACUUAUUUUCUCAAAAUUCGUAGACCAAAAUCAUUUUAAUGAUGAACUGGUCACACCUUAAUAAAAGAUCGGUGGCGACUCCCCAUUCCCAUUUUCAAAAUCGAUACCCAUUUUUCAAAAUUCAAAAAAGUGGUUUCGACAUAGGGCAUGGAUGUAAUUGGGCCAAUAUCACCAAAGGCUUCGAAUGGGCAACGGUUCAUCUUCGUAGCCAUCGACUACUUCACCAAGUGGGUAGAGGCUACCUCUUAUGCCAACGUCACAAAGUCGGCAGUUAGUAAAUUCUUAAAAAAGGAGAUCAUAUGUCGGUAUGAGAUGCCAGAAAGGAUUAUAUUUGACAACGCUUUGAAUUUAAAUAACAGUACAAUAGCAGAGGUCUGCAAUCAAUUCAAGAUCAAGCACCACAACUCAUCGCCAUAUCGCCCAAAAAUGAAUGGCGCAGUGGAAGCAACUAAUAAGAACAUCAAGAAGAUUGUAGGGAAAAUGACAGAGACUUAUAAAGAUUGGCAUAAGAAGUUACCAUUUGCCCUUUAUGCUUAUCGAACGUCUGUCAGAACCUCUACCGAGGCAACUCCUUUCUCAUUGGUCUAUGGAAUAGAGACGGUUUUGCCCAUCGAAGUUGAAUUUCCUUCCCUCCGAGUUUUAUCAGAAUUGAAACUAGAUGAAGCAGAAUGGAUUCAAUCCCGAUAUAAUCAGCUGAACUUGAUUGAAGAAAAGAGGUUAAGAGUUAUCUGUCAUGGUCAAAUGUACCAGAAACGAAUGAUACGAGCUUACAAUAAGAAAGUUCAUCCUAAGGAAUUCCAUAAAGGGGAUUUGGUAUUAAAGAAGAUCCUUCCCAUACAAAAAGACUUCAAAGGAAAGUGGAUGCAAAACUGGAAAGGACCUUAUGUAGUAAAGAAGGCAUUUUCUGGAGGAACGUUGAUUUAGAAUGAGAUGGAUGGAAAAUGCCUGCCUAAUCCUGUGAAUUCGGAUUCAGUGAAGAAGUACUUCACCUAAAAAAAAAGGCCAAGGCGAAAACCCGCAAAGGGCGCCUUGAGACCAAUGGGGUUUUGAAUUGAAAACCCAAGAAUGAACAAUUCAAAUUUUUUGAUCAAAGUUAGGGCAUGUGGUAGUCUAGCCCUCUCCAAAUCAAGAAGAAGGAGGGAUGCUACAUUGUGAGGCAUCAACAAAAUCUUCUAGAACUUCUAGACACAUAUCAAGUUCAAAAGGGUCCUCAAUAAGUUUGGGCAGAGAAGCUCAUACUGCAAUAUCUGAGACCCCUAUUUUAUUCGUUUUGUAUUUUGGAAAAAUACGCCAUCUUGAUUAGUUUAUUCUCAUUCUUGUAUUCUAGCACAAUUUGCUAUCUUGAUUAAUUCAUUCAUUUCGAGCUUUGCUAUUAACGAAACUUCGUCUUGUCCACUUUGAUAAUCUUUUUCAAGCAUUUUUCAUUGAAAUAACGAUUAAUGGACUGACAAUAUUCAAGCAAAGGAAGUUUUACAUAUUACUUUGAAAGCUUCUAAAUAGUACAAGGACCUGAAACAGGGCUAUUGUUUAGAACUAACCAACUUAAGGUUUAGAGGCAUUAGAGGAAGAAUAGUCUAAAUUGCGACUAUUUCUUUGGUUUUUCUGUCAAAGAUGCCAGCUGAACAAGAAGGCAUCGGUGAUAAAACCUUGAUGAACAACGAGUAAUGACAACCUAAGCUUUGGAAAGGGAUCAUUCUCAUGACAUUCUACAAAUAUCAUAUAUACACAUCUAGUUAGGAGUGUAAUGGCCCAAAUUUGCCCAGCCCGAUACAAAUAUUAGAACCCCAAUAAAUAAAUAAAAUAAACCAAAUAAAUGUCCAGUUUAUUGCAACCAAGCCCAAACCCGAUUACAAAACCCAAAAUUCCCAAGCCUAAACUGUUAACCCAAUACUUAACCCUCUAGGCCCAAAUCACUCAGCCCAAAUUAGCCUAACAUGGGGAAAUCAGAAACCCUAGCCCUAGCUACUGCUGGCCGCCGCUCCUGCCUCUACCCAACUCCAGCGCCGCACGAGCCACUCUCCACGCACGUAGCAGCACUCGCACGAGCCGCACCACAUCCCAACUCAUCUCCGUACACCUACAGAAAGGACAAAAGAAACGCAAAAACCACGCACAAAAUAGCAGAAAAUACGCAUGAAAGGCAAAAAAAAAAGAUAGCAGAGAGGAUUUUCUUUUUCUUUCUAUUUUAUUUUUCUGGAAUUUUGGCCAUAAAAGAGGCCAUACGCAUAUUGUAGGAAAAAAAACGAAAUCAAUACACAAGAAAGGUUUUCUUUUUCUCUUUUCUCGAUUGGGUUCCUUUUUCUUUGACUUUUCUUUUUUUUUUUGUUUUGCUGUUAGCCCUAUACAUAAGCAUAUACAUAUAAUAAGAGGGAAAGGAAGUACUUACCUCGGUGACCCUGUCGUCGUUCUCAUCGGUUUCGUGGAUACCAGAAAGGCUAGGCACGGUUUUAGCCCGAGAACGGCGUAAAAGGAGAGGGGAAAGGCAAAGUUUUUUCUGCUUUUUUUUUAAGUGGCCGAAUAACCUUGUUUAGGGUUUUAAAAUUGGUUCUUUUGGGGUGUUAAAACGGCGUCAUUUGGGGCCUGAAUCAGUGGCCACCAAAACAGCGUUGUAUUUGCAUACCCGCACGUCCAACUCGACCCGAACCAGCUGGAUCCGCGCGUUUUGGCCACUGGUGGUAUAUUUUCGCGCUUAGUCCCGCGCCUUUAAAGCGCAUCCAAAUCAGUCUUUUUAUUUUUUUUUACAUUUUGCCUGAUAUGUCACUGUUGUUUCAUUUUGGUCCCUUCUGCCAAUAUGCAUUUUGAAGGGAGGGGAAUAUUUCCCAUUUAAUCCCUCAUGUAAUGCGCAGGCUUCAUUUUGCCUUCUAAUUUCCUUUCCUUUUAUCUAUUUUUAGAUUUUUUUUCCUGAAUCACUGUUUUAAUACCAAUUUAGUCCUCUGUUUUGUUAUUAUUGCUAUAAAAUUGCUUAGUUAAUUAUUAUUACCUUUGUUAUUAUUGGUAUUACUAUUAUAUUAGUUCAUAUGUUCACUUUUUUAUAUAUACGUAAAUUACUUUAUUAAAUAUUGUUAUUUUAAUUUUUUAUAUCUAAUAUACUAGUAUGUAUUUUACGUUAAUCUAAUAUUAUCUAUCUAUUUUUAAUAAUUUUAUUUUCAUGAUACAUUUUUAGUUUUUAUGUAUAUACUUUCAUGUUUUAAAUGUCAAUAAUAUUUUUGUAUAAUACUAUUUCAUAUGUAUAUAUAUGCACCAUUUAUACUAAAUUAUUUUGUUGUAUCUGUUGACACCAUUUUUUUGAUGAAAACGGGGUCCACUUGGAUUUUGAAAAUGAAAACAAAAACGGGAGUCGCCACCAAUCCUUUUUGAUGAGGUGUGAUCGGGUCACCUCGAAAAGUGAUUGUUUUUAAUAAACGAUUUAAUUUUUAUUAAAACAACGAUUUUGGUCUGCGAAAUUCAAAAAAAUGGGUUCGGGAGUCGGUUACGCACGAGGAAGGAUUAGCACCCUCGAUACGCCCAAAAUUGGUACCUAGUUGGUUACUUAGUGUCUUGUUGUCAAAAAUUGAGAACUCGAAAAGAAUUUAAAAAUACGAUCCCUCUUUAUAUUGCAUUAUUUUAAAAUUACUCGAAUAAAUCAAAAUGAAAAAUGCCUUCUUAUCUUGAAGUAAUAAGAUGUCACAUCCAGUAAGUUAGGACACAAUACCUUGUAUUUUUGAGAGUAAGUUUGCAUUUUUAUUUUUUAUUGAGACCUCAUUUAUUUUUAAUUUCAAAGGGAUAUUCGGUUACUUAGAAUCAACGAAGAAAAUCGAAACCCAGUAAGUUAGGGCACGAUUUCUCGAAUUUUCUAAAUAUAGAAUAUUGCCUUUAUUUUUGAAAUUUUUAAGAAGGAUAUUAAGUCAUUUGGUCAAACGAGAAAUCGAAACCCAGCACGUUAGGGCACAUUUUCUCGAUUUUCCAAACGCAAAAUAUUGCAUUACUUUGAAAUUUUACUUUUGAAUGGUAACGAAUAAGAAGUUUGAAGUAAGCAUUUAUUUUAUUUAGAAAAACAUGAUAAAGCAACCUAAGUUGGAUAACUAUGUUGGGACUUAAUUUAUAAUAUAAUGACAUGCAAUAACAAUAUAAUAGUAAACAUGGAAUAACGAUACAUGAAUAAAAUUAUAUAAAUGUAUGAUAAUAACAUGAAAAUAUAAGUGAACGAACUAUGGCACAUACAAUGAAGAUAACCACNNNNNNNNNNNNNNNNNNNNNNNNNNNNNNNNNNNNNNNNNNNNNNNNNNNNNNNNNNNNNNNNNNNNNNNNNNNNNNNNNNNNNNNNNNNNNNNNNNNNAGAGACGAAUAAAUUAAACAACAUAUGUAACAAUUUCAAAAAUGAGUGGUCUAGGGCAAGUUAAAAUAAAAGGUAGAACCAUUUUAAAUAAUAAUAAACGGGUUUUAAAUAAAUAUUGUAAAAAAGGGAAAUUUAAGAGUCAACCAUAUACAAAAUAAUUGUAAAAUACUAUAUAUGAAAACUUCAAAAAUGAAUAAUGCAUAUGUACAUGCAAAAACGUGAAAUAAGAACAGUUAAUCUUAAAAUGGAUAAUAAAUAAAACAUUUAAAGGAAAAAAAUGUGGAGUAAAGAAAGUACAAAACAGUUUCAAAAUAAUUGACACAUAUAACAUGUAUAACAUAUUUCAACAUGAGAUAUAAUAAUGUAUAAAGUACUUAAUUUAUAGAAUCCUGAAAUAAAUAAAAAAUAAAACAGCAUGGAAAUGAACAAUAUAAAGAAUAUCAAAAUAAGUAGCACAAGAAACAAUUUAUAUUACAUACUACAUAUAAAUUUAAAAUGGAUAAUGCCUACACAUAUUUUUGAAAUAAAUAAAAUAUAAGACUCGAGAUAAAUAUUAGUUAAUCUAAAUGAAUCUAGAAUAAAAUAAUAUAUAAAAGAAAAUCCUAAAUGAUAAAAGAAACAGUUAAAAAAAUAUAUGAAAAAUAUAGAUAAGUUUUAUAUAAAACAAAUUCAAAUAAAUAAUAAAUAUAAGGACUUAAAAAAAUAAUAAAAUAGCCUAUUUUUAAUAAAUAAAUAAAUAAAUAAACUAAAUAUAUUGAGGACAUGGUUGAAACGAAAUAAAAAAAAAUCAGGUCCUAAACUGCAAAUAUAUAAAACAGAUUGCUAGGGGCUGAAAUAAGAUGUGCUGAGGACAUGGGGGACCGAUCGUGCAAUAUUCCCCGUCCCAUACGCUCAUCAUUUUGCGCAGGACCAGAUCGAAACAGACGCGAAAUUCUGUGGCUGAAAUCGAAUAAAAUAAAGAGUGCAUUGAAUGCGUCACAGAACUGGAGGGACUAAUUGCAUAAAAUACCCAUUAGGGCAAUGAUGUGCAGCCCUCCAAGCCUUCAAACGGCGCCAUUUAAAAUCUUAUAAAAGCUAAAAAUUAAGGCAUUGAGCCAUUUUUCAACAAUUCUGUAAACCCUAGCCUCCCUCUUUUCCUUUCUGUCGCUUCAAAAACUAGAAGCCACUCUUCCUCAGCCCCGAUUUGGACGGAAUGAAGAAGAGCCUCGACGGCGCCGGGGUAAGUACUCUGUCUCUUUUCUUUUUUUAACUUAUAUCUUCUUAUAUAUAUAUGUGUGUGUGUGUGUGUGUGUGUGUAUGAUAAAAUAAGAAAAAAUAAUAAUAAACAGACAGAAACAAACCAAGAAAACGUAAUGAAAAAGAGAAAAGAAAAAAAACCUUCUCUUAGAAGAUUUUUUCGAUUUUUUAUUGAUUCCACAAUGUUUUUUUUUUUUCAAUCGAAUUCCCCCGGCGUUGUUCGAUCUUUGGGCUUAUGAAGCCGAUUUACAAGGUACUUUUAUCUACUAUUUUGGCUUCAUUUCUGCCACUGUUCCUUCACGUUUUUUGCUUCCAUUUUUGUCUCUUUUUGCAGGUACAUGGCAAGGUCAACUUGCCGUUUUAGUGAAAGGUCGGCUGGCGGUGGCAGACUUCGGGCGUGGUGCACGUUGGAGGCACAUGGGAGCAGCGGCGCGAGGCAAGGGCAGGGAACCCUAGGGUUCCCCGUGCUGUUUAGUUUUUGGGCCCUAAUGGGCCGUUUUAGAUUUUGGGCCUAUGGGUCCAUUGGGCUGAAAAUUGGGUUUGUCUAUUAUUGUAAUUGGGCUAAAAAUUGGGCUGUACAGUAUGUAUACGCAAUAUAUAUUUAAUUUCAUAUUACUAUACAUAUACAUAUUUUUUUUCUAUUUCAUAAAAUGGAUUUCUUUUUAAAUACUCUAUUAUAUAUUUUGCUCAUUUAAACUCUUUUUAUAUUUCCAUAUAUGCUAUUGUAUGAAGCUUUUCGUUCUACUAUUUAUUUCAAUUAACUUAUGUAUAUUAUCUUAUAAAUUUUUAUAAUAUUGACCGUAAAAUUCAUUCACGUUUUACUUAUUUUCAUUGAUAUUUUAUAUUUCAAACCAUUGUGUAUUUCGUUUGAAUUCUUUUAUUCAUACAAUUUUCAAUUCUUUUCUUUGUUAUGUUUUUGAAUUAGUGUGCAUGAAGUUUCAUUCGAGAUUAAUUUUCCACUUCGUUUAGCCUUUAAUUGUUAAUAUUGGUAUGGAUAUUAUAUGGGAUUAUUGCUUGUGUAUGUAAGUAUUACGUUGAAAGGUUAUUUGUAUUCAUUAGGGUACACUUUAUCUUACGAAUUAUUAUUUUGCAUCAUCAAUCCAUCUCACUUUAUUUGUUUAAAAGAUUACGUUUAAUAUUAUUUAAGUAUCAAAACCAAUUUAUUCAAAAAUCUUCAAGAUAAAGUAAAGUUCGGUAUUUGGAGCCUUCGAAAGAAUUGAGCCCUAAAGUAUUGGGUUCCAAUUUUCUUCGUUGAAUCUAAAUGAUCGAGAUUUUCCUUUAAUGAAAACGCCAAUAAAAAGCUCAUUCUCGAGAAUUCAAUACGUGGUGUCCUAACGCAUUGGAUAUAACAUAUUGUUUUCUCGAAACGAGGAUUUUUUUUCUAACAAAUGAAUAAAGGCAAUAUUCGAUAUUUGGCAUAUUUUGAAAUCGAGCCCUAACUUACUGGGUCUUGAUUUUCUCAUCUAAUCCAAAUAAUCGGAUAUCCUUCUCAAAACGCAUGGGUUUUAAAAGUUAAAAGAUAAACCUAAUUUUGAUGAUUGAAUUGUCGCACCCUAACUCACUGAGUGUGGUAAUUUAUUCAAAAUGAGUGCAUCUUAUUAUUCACCGCGGUUUAUUCAAAUUCAAGAUAAAGGGAUCACAUUUUAAAAUCUUUUCAAAAUUUCGACAUUAAGACAUUAAAUAAUCGAUUCGGUACCAAUUUUGGGCGUUACGAGGGUGCUAACCCUUCCUUGUGCGUAACCGACUCCCGAACCUGUUUUUUCUCAAAAUUCGCAGACCUAAAAUUAUUUUAAAGGUGAUCCGAUCACACCUCAAUAAAAGAUCGGUGGCGACUCCAAUUUUUAUUUUUUCAAAGUCGAUCCUUGUUUUUCAAACUUAUAAAAGAUGGUUUCGACAAGGAGCAUUUGAUUCAUUCUAAUCAUGACAUUCUAAACACUAGGCAUAAAUAGGUCUAUGAAAUAGAUUUGCAGCGGAGCAGACUGAAGAUAGCAGAUCUUGUCUUUCUAUACUAGUAGCGAACCAGAUCGAAAGCACCAGCCUUAUCUCCCGGAGUAGCAGUUGAGUAGAUUGAAGAUUGUAGAUCUUGUCUUCCUGUACUGGCAGUGAAGUAGGUUAAAGACACCAGUCUUAUCUCUUUGGCAUUGCAGUGGAACAGAUUGAAGCUAUAACGACGAAUCUUGCUUCCCCGACAUUGCAAUUAAAAAGAUUGAAGCCACAACGGCGAAUCUUAUCUCCCUGAAGUUGCAGUGGAGCAGACUGAAGCUACUAAUCCUAUCUCCCUGAAGUUGCAGUGGAGCGGAUUAAAACGAUGAAUCAUAUACCUCUGAAGUUGCAGUAGGUCGAAUUAGAUCUUAUCAUAUCAAACAUUAUCUCCCUAAAGUUGCAGUGGAUCAAGUUGAAGAUACAAGUCUUAUCUCCCUAAAGUUGCAGUGGAGCAAACUAAAACCACGAAUCUCAUCCCCAUGAAGUUGCAGCAGAGUAGAUAGAAGUCAUAUUUCUCUGAAGAUACCGCGAAGUGGAUCGAAGCAACAAGACGUAGUGGAUUAGAACGAGACUACUUGAGAAGAGAGGCACCAAAAAGUUAAGACUCGGUGAGACCAAGCAAAAUUGGUCCUUCUUAAAAGUCUUUGCUCCAUUCUCGUUACACGACAAUGAGCAAAGAGGGGCAGCUGGAAGGACUCAUUUUUGCCCGGAAGCCCAAACCCAAUUACAAAUAAAAAUAAAAUACCCAGCCCAAUUACUAAACCUAACCCAAGCUCAAACUACCCAACAAGCCCAAAAUUAAAAAAAAAACCUAGCCCAAUAACCUAAAACACUUUCAGCCAAAGAGAGGGACAAAAACCCUAGGGCGCGUCGCAUGGCCGCCUCACACGCCAGCCCCAGCCUUGCUGCCGCCGCCGUUCGUCGCACGUCCCAUCAGCAUCGCACGCCACUACCACCAUGGCCUCCUUCAUGCGCGUCUUGCACCUGCAAAACACCCAUAACACGCCAACAGAAACAAUAAAAAGGAAAAAAAUAAAGAGAAAAGAAACCAACAAGCAGAGAAAAUCCAAAUCGCAAAACGACAAAAUAAAUAGAAAACUAAGU